UUCCAAUGUUUCAUAAGUACAUAUAUGAAUCAAUAUGCAAUCAUCCGCAGGUAUUUACAAUAUAGAAGUUUACAAAAUCCUUCAGGAAAUGGUAAUUUUACAAUAUAGGUUGACAAAAUAUCACUCAACAAAGUUAGGAAACAGUACAAUCUAGCUCACACAAAGAUAACGUUUAAACUAUUGAAGUUAUUAUUCAUGUUGUCAUCGGCCCUCCUCCUGGAAACUAUGUAUCAUGUCAUGCUGAUUGUUAUUGGCAGCACCAAGUAGCCCACUAUGCAAUCAUACCUAGCAUAUUUACAAGACCAUCAGAUAUGUUAGAUAUAAAUAGAUAGAAGAGAAUUGUAACAAAUGUAAAAACUGAAUCAUGUGUUAUCCAAAAUUCUUAAAUCUUACACUGCUACAAACGAGAAUAGCAUAAUAUCUGCUACAUAUAAGUUUCAUGUAGAUCUGUAUGAAUUAGGACAACCAAGUUAUGUGUAAAACAUACAAUGUUAAGUACUUUGCAUAUCAUGCAAACAAGAAACAGAAAAACACUUGUCUGACAAUGGGGGACAAUACAUAAUACAAUGCACAAGAUUCAUUCAAUUAACAUAUGUGCAAUAAUACGUGACAAUGUAGUAACUUCAGCAAAAGAAGGCAUGUACCUGUACUUCAGCAAAAGAAGGCAUGUACCUGUAUGUUUACGAGAGAGAUACACAAACUUCAAUUGUUUUGUUUUGUAAAAUAGAGACCUGUACGUUUAGGAGAAGGAUAUGGAAUUGUUAAUCAAAUAAGAAAAUAUAGAUAACGGACACUAGAUGCAUGCAUCGAUGCUUUGAACUGGACACUUUCCCACAUUUUGAGAAUAUCCAUGGAAACCAAACACAACACUUGACCAGAUUUGCAGCCCGCUUCCUAAAGAAAAUUCUGUUAUUUUUUGAGAUUUUUUUUUGUUGCCGUGCACCUGAUGGGGAUUUCGAGCAACAUGAACACAAAUUGUGAAGGAAAACUUCAGCCCUAACACAUCCGCACGGCCGCGCAGAGCUGGUAAUUGAUGAACUAUGUGGCACAUCGGCCAGGCUAGAUCCAGCACCUUGCCGGAAGUGGGAAGUGGCUAUUGCGCGUCAGUAUACUGUAUGCAAGGCAGAUUUUGAGGAAAAAUACUAAUCAUUAUGGCCAAUAUAGAUUUUAUGCUAGACUUUUUGUUGACCUUCUAUUAGAGUGUUCUUUCUAAGCUAAGACAUGAAAAGGAAAAAAGAAGAAUACUACUACUCGAAACAAGUUGUGUACGUGCCCCAUAUUUUGUGUGAAGAAACUGGC
rnacentral:lncRNA from 1 species